CCCCAGGUGCCCCUCCCUCCCCUCCCCCACCACGGCUCCGUGCUUCCCUCUACUUUGCCCCUCCUGGACGAGAUUUUACUCAUUUAUUCACGAGAGACACACACGCACGGAGAGAGGGAGAGGCAGGCUCCACGCAGGGAGCCCGACGCGGGACGCGACCCCGGGUCUCCAGGGUCACGCCCCGGGCCCAAGGCGGCGCCACACGGCUGAGCCCCCCGGGGAGCCCCGGUACUGUUUGCACUACGUUGGCCCACUAGCCUCCUUGCACUUCCUUCAGGGAUGGCGCUCUCCCCCCAGGGCCUUUUGCCUACCACACGGUCCCUAGCAGGCCAGGUAACACACACGCCUUCACUUAACUAGUUGCUGAAAUGUCCCCAUAUCAGAUUUUCCUUUAACCAUUUUUCUGAAAUGGCGCUUACAUCUCUUCUUAGCAUUUACCACUUGAUGUAUAUUUUUUCAGUCCUCUCACAAUUGACUAAAUUCCAGGAGUCCUACGAAUUGCUUUGUUUAUUGUAUGGUGAGCAGCACCCCGUACAAAGCCUGGUAUUUGACAUUUAGGAACUCACUAGAUGUUUACUGGGUAUUUAUUGGUUGGAUGGCAGGACUUAAACUCACGUUAGGAUGGUUCCAUAGCCUAGUGCACUUUUCACUGCAACCAAGAACUAUGGAGCCAGAUCUGCUGGCUAUCCAAGGCAUCUCUCAGCUUUAUUUUAUUUUAUUUUUAAGUUAUUCAUGAGAGACACACAGAGAGAGGCAGAGACACAGGCAGAGAGAGAAGCAAGCUCCAUAUAAGGAGCCGGAUGCGGGAUGCGGGAUGCGGGACUCCAUGCCGGGACAUCCGGGAUCACACCCUAAGCCAAAGGCAGAUGCUCAACCGCUGAGCCACCCAGGCGUCCCAUCUCUCAAUUUUAAUACUAAGAACUGGCUUGGGACAAAAUGCCCCAAAUCGCAGUCCUCCCGCCUCGGUGACAUGAGAGGCUCCAUGAGGCCAGGAAACAACAGUGCAAGAUGAAAAAGCAGAUCACAAAAAAGCAGGCCUUAGCUUACCACGCACUGAUCAUCUCCCUAUCUGCUGAGAUUUAGGUAUAACACGUGUUCUGGAGCCAGACUGCCUGAAUACAAACCCACUCCUCCUCCAUCAGUAGUAGUAUGACCCUUGGCAAGAUUUAUUUAUUUGAGAGAGAAAGCGUGCACAAGGUGGGAGAGGGACAGAAGGAGAGAGAGACUCUCAAGCAAACUCCCUGCUGAGCACGGAGCGAGAGCAUGAUCUGAACCAAAAUCAAGAGUUGGACACCCAGCUGACUGGGCCACCCAGGCACCCCCAAAAAAUUCACUUCUAAAAUAAAUUUGAGAUUACUCUGAAAAAACUCUAAUCCCAAUUAGUAACUGUAAUUCAUGGUAAAUACAUUAAAAAGAAUUCUGUAUAUCAUUUGCAGUAACGAAGAGUCACAGAUUCUGAAGGGACCUUAAAAGUCAUCUAGCCCAACCCUCCUAACCUAAUAUUUAGAUAGAAUAAUAAAAAAACAAGAAACACCAAAAUCAAAAAAAUAAUAGCAGCUUGCUGAGGAAAGAACUGACUUCUCUGAAACUGAGAACAGUCCAAGGAAUAUAAUACAACCAGAAAUAUCCCCCUUUUCAAACAGGGACAUCUGGUAAUCAGUACUUUCAUUAAAAAAGUAUUUUGGCCUAAUAUGUCAAGUUGCCCAGGGCGGUUUUAUCAGUCACUUGACUUCAUUUUCCAGUUUCAAAGUUUUCAAUUUGUUUCAAACCAAAAGAAAUCAGACCAUACUGUGGGUUGAUUUUAAUGAACAAAAUUAUCUGUAUAAAAACAUUUAAACUUUAUCAAAUGCUUUAAAAACACACACGCACAGAUCCAAAUCCAUUACAUAAUCUUUGAACAUUAUCUCUUUUCACCUCAACAUGAGUGAAGGGACUUCUGGAUAAAAUUCUACAUGUGAAAAAAAGACAACCCAUAGUCUCACACAUGUAUGCGCGCGCGCGCACACACACACACACACACACACACACACUCUUUAAGAACUAAAAUACUUGGGAAAAGUGUGACUGGGAUGGGAAUGAAUUUCUCAGAAAGCUUCUAUAAAAGAACACUACACAGGUAAAAGAAGUUCCUAUGCCAAGGGAAGAUGCAGAGAGGGGAAAAAGAAAGCAGGGCUUAGCCAAACUCAUUAAUAAAUAGUUUGAGAAGUUCAUUCAAGAACAGUGAAUUGGGGGAGUUACAGAGGACCCCUCAUUUUCACCACCUCAGAGUCUGUGAAUCUGAUAACCGAUGAUGCUUCAAAAGUACGUUACGUUCUCGGUUUUUUACAGGUCUUGAUCUAUUCAUCAUUAUUUAGGUGUGGUUUGUCCCUGUCAGCGGUGGAUUCCUCAGUUGUCAUGCAGUGCUCUGCUGUCCUAUCCACCAGAAGAGCCAUGGUCAGAGACGGCAGCAAGCGUGACAUCGCAGCUGGUGGUUAAAGAGCCAAGAUUGCCCGGGUUUGGAUUUCAGCGACACUAUGUGCUAGCUGCCUGUCACUCGGCAAGCUCCUCAGCCACUUUAGGUCUCUGUUUCCUCACGUUCAAUUAGGGAUCAUUAUUGCCUACUUCAUAGAGGAUUGUUAAAUAGGAGCUCAACAAGGUAAUCCACUUAAAGGAUGUGUCACACUACGAGGCACAAGCAAAUGCUCAGUAAAUGUCAGCUAAAAUUACUAUUAGUCUUGGUAUUACAGGGCAACCAAAAGAAAAAUUCUAUUUCUGUAUUUCUCCUCUUUGGUGAGGUUUUCGGGGGCCAACUGUGGCAAAAGCCAGUACAUAUGAUGCAAAAGAGACUGAGGAUCUAGUCUUAGGAAUAUAGAUGUUCACUUUUAUAUUAAAAAAAAAUUACAUGGCUCCAUAUCACAAAAUUUAACAUCUUUCCAUUAAA